rnacentral:lncRNA from 1 species
UCAUCUCUAGUUUUUUUUUUUUUGUUUGUUUUGUUUUUAAAGAAAUUAGCUAAGUGGUUGUUUUUCUUUUCUCUUUUGUCAAACACCCUUCCUGAUGUUUUCAGUUUCGAGGGGGUUUAGGUUGGACAAAUGGUGUUAGUGACUCUGCCGACAUCCUUUUAUCACCUGUCUCUAAGCUACUCGGAAUUUUGAUUGAGUUCAAAUACAGUGAUCAAAGACCACCACUUUUGAUAACCCUAUGGCAAAAUAGACAAAAUUUGAUUCAUGAUAGAAGAAUUCUUACGAGUUUCUUGCAUUUGGAACACCGAUAUUCUAAACCGCAGUGCGCUCCUCAGAGAGGGUGUGGUUUUCCAUGGAGAGUCAACACAGUCUGUCCCAUCACCAUCAAGAGGCCUGACCCAUGCCCUUCCCCAGUUUGUGUACUAGGGGUAGAUCCUGGACUUACUGCCUCAGGUCAGUUGUUUCUGUGGGUUUCCCCAUUAUGGUCUUGACCCUUCAAGUUCACUUUGUAAAAACUCUUAUAAAACAAAACCACAAUGAACAUUCACAGUAAAUAUAUACAGUACAAAGAAUAAUAAAACACUCAUCCACCCACAGUCUGAGAUACAGAACAUGGCCAAUAUGUUAG